GAUGAACGCUAGCUACAGGCUUAACACAUGCAAGUCGAGGGACCGGCGCACGGGUGAGUAACACGUAUCCAACCUGCCCUUUACUCGGGGAUAGCCUUUCGAAAGAAAGAUUAAUACCCGAUAUAAAGGAUGGGGAUGCGUUCCAUUAGGUUGUUGGUGAGGUAACGGCUCACCAAGCCUUCGAUGGAUAGGGGUUCUGAGAGGAAGGUCCCCCACAUUGGAACCGCGACACGGUCCAAACUCCUACGCGGCGGAGCAGUGAAGUAUAUUGGUCAAUGGGGGCUAGCCUGACCCAGCCAAGUAGCGGGAAGGAUGAAGGCUUAUGGAUCGUAAACUUCUGUUAUAUAAGAAGAUGUACUAUAUGAAGAAGGAUCGGCUAACUCCGUGCCAGCAGCCGCGGUAAUAC
rnacentral:rRNA from 1 species